AACAAACUCUUCAGCUUUAUAAUAUUAGUAUAUUAUAAAUGUCUUCAUUAAAGUAAAUAUAUUAUGUAAUUUUAACAGAGGGACUUAUAUUAGGCUGUCUUUACAUAACUAAAUUAUUAUUUUAUAGCUCUAAUGUAAACUUUCAUCAAUCAUUCCUCCCUCCAAUCCAAUGACAUAUAAAAACAUCUUAAAGAUGACCUAAACUCUAUGCCUAAACUGAACUGUCCCACCAAACUCAUUGAUAAGGGGGCGCUACCGUCGUUCAACUAUAUAGUUUCCAACAUGGCAAAAAAUCGGAACCAGCGAUCCGGUAUUGACGGUGGCGCCCCGCUGCCAAUGUCAAGGUUUUAUUUCUAUCAUAUUUUUUUUACCACCAAAACUGUCAGAUGCUAUUUUUCAAAUAGCCCUAUCCUACUAUUUGAUACAAAAUCUAACGAAAUGAAUACUUUACAUUUCUUGUGGGCUGCCCACAGGGAAGAAUUGCGGAGAAGGCGGAAAAUGCGAGAAUUAGCCAGAAUAUAUGAAGAAAAUUUUGAAGACAUGCCAGAGCUUCUGUUCAGGCAACGUUACAGGCUUAACAAAGGCCAAUUUCAGGAGCUUUGUCAUAUAUUGAAACAUUGAAACAGGAAACCUCUUUGCGGGGAAAUACAAUAAUUUCUCUGGAAUCCAAGAUGAGCUGCCUGCAGGAUCUGUUGCAACAGCCACUUUUCUGGAGCAUUUUAACAAUUUAUUUGAUUUACUUAAUGCGCAUGCAUUCACCAGACUGGCAAGAAGGGAAGCAAUCAGUGUGUAUAAUAUUAAUUAAAAGAUUUUGUUUAAUAGAGAACAGAAGGUUCUCCACUGAAUCUGCCUAGUAAAGGCUGCCAAAAAAAAAUAAAAAUAUUAAAAAAUUCAUA